UACGGGAGGCAGCAGUGGGGAAUAUUGCACAAUGGGCGAAAGCCUGAUGCAGCUAUGCCGCGUGUAUGAAGAAGGCCUUAGGGUUGUAAAGUACUUUCAUCGGGGAGGAAAAACAAAACUAAUAAUUUUAUUUCUUGACGUUACCCGAAAAAGAAGCACCGGCUAACUCCGUGCCAGCAGCCGCGGUAAUACGGAGGGUGCUAGCGUUAAUCAGAAUUACUGGGCGUAAAGAGCACGUAGGUGGUUUUUUUAAAGUCAGAUGUGAAAUCCCUGGGCUUAACCUAGGAACUGCAUUUUGAAACUGAAAUACUAGAGUAUCGUAGAGGGAGGUAGAAUUCUAGGUGUAGCGGUGAAAUGCGUAGAUAUCUGGAGGAAUACCUGUGGCGAAAGCGGCCUCCUAAACGAAUACUGACACUGAGGUGCGAAAGCGUGGGGAGCAAACGAGGGA
rnacentral:rRNA from 1 species